GAUGAACGCUGGCGGCGUGCCUAAUACAUGCACGUCGAGCGAACGGACGAGAAGCUUGCUUCUCUGAUGUUAGCGGCGGACGGGUGAGUAACACGUGGAUAACCUACCUAUAAGACUGGGAUAACUUCGGGAAACCGGAGCUAAUACCGGAUAAUAUUUUGAACCGCAUGGUUCAAAAGUGAAAGACGGUCUUGCUGUCACUUAUAGAUGGAUCCGCGCUGCAUUAGCUAGUUGGUAAGGUAACGGCUUACCAAGGCAACGAUGCAUAGCCGACCUGAGAGGGUGAUCGGCCACACUGGAACUGAGACACGGUCCAGACUCCUACGGGAGGCAGCAGUAGGGAAUCUUCCGCAAUGGGCGAAAGCCUGACGGAGCAACGCCGCGUGAGUGAUGAAGGUCUUCGGAUCGUAAAACUCUGUUAUUAGGGAAGAACAUAUGUGUAAGUAACUGUGCACAUCUUGACGGUACCUAAUCAGAAAGCCACGGCUAACUACGU
rnacentral:rRNA from 1 species